AGAGUUUGAUCAUGGCUCAGAUUGAACGCUGGCGGCAUGCCUUACACAUGCAAGUCGAACGGUAACGCGGGGCAACCUGGCGACGAGUGGCGAACGGGUGAGUAAUAUAUCGGAACGUGCCCAGUAGUGGGGGAUAGCCCGGCGAAAGCCGGAUUAAUACCGCAUACGACCUACGGGUGAAAGCGGGGGAUCGCAAGACCUCGCGCUAUUGGAGCGGCCGAUAUCAGAUUAGGUAGUUGGUGGGGUAAAAGCCCACCAAGGCUACGAUCCGUAGCUGGUCUGAGAGGAUGAUCAGCCACACUGGAACUGAGACACGGUCCAGACUCCUACGGGAGGCAGCAGUGGGGAAUUUUGGACAAUGGGCGCAAGCCUGAUCCAGCCAUGCCGCGUGAGUGAAGAAGGCCUUCGGGUUGUAAAGCUCUUUCGGCAGGAACGAAAUGGUUCGUGCUAAUACCACGGACUGAUGACGGUACCUGAAGAAGAAGCACCGGCUAACUACGUGCCAGCAGCCGCGGUAAUACGUAGGGUGCAGGCGUUAAUCGGAAUUACUGGGCGUAAAGCGUGCGCAGGCGGUUUCUUAAGUCAGAUGUGAAAGCCCCGGGCUUAACCUGGGAACUGCGUUUGAAACUGGGAGACUUGAGUGUGGCAGAGGGGGGUGGAAUUCCACGUAGCAGUGAAAUGCGUAGAUAUGUGGAGGAACACCGAUGGCGAAGGCAGCCCCCUGGGUUAACACUGACGCUCAUGCACGAAAGCGUGGGGAGCAAACAGGAUUAGAUACCCUAGUAGUCC
rnacentral:rRNA from 1 species